CCCCUAGAUGUUCUGGGCCGCACGCGCGCUACACUGAACAGUUCAACAAGUCUUAACCUUGGCCGAUAGGUCUGGGUAAUCUCCAAAUUUCGUCGUGAUGGGGAUAGAUUAUUGCAAUUAUUAAUCUUCAACGAGGAAUGCCUAGUAAGCGCAAGUCAUCAGCUUGCGUUGAUUACGUCCCUGCCCUUUGUACACACCGCCCGUCGCUCCUACCGAUUGAAUGGUCCGGUGAAGCGUUCGGACCGUGGCCUUUGGACGGUUCGCCGUCUGUUGGCUGCGGGAAGUUCGUUAAACCUUAUCAUUUAGAGGAAGGAGAANUCGUAACA
rnacentral:rRNA from 1 species